CCGCCAAUUCUAGCGCUGCAGGACCAGGUACCUGGGACCGAGUUCCUACCCCGAGGCACUGGAGAGUCCCCCUCCCGCUCCGGCUCCGGCUCCGGCUCCGGCUCCGGCUCCAUGCACCUGUUUCGAGACAGCCACAGGAACUCGGGAUCUGGGGUCGCAGAAUCGAAGCCUGUGGCAGGAACAUUGAGGGAAUACUGAGCCACGAGCCUCAAGGGCCGGUUCCACUUCUGAACGAUUAUAUGACCGCGAGCAAAUCGCUCAGCCUCUCCCUUGCUCUCUUGGUGGUUCUGAGAGUCAAAUUCGACGAUAAAUGUGAAAACAGAAGUGCUCUUCCAAGGCAGCGACCCCCACCAUUCCCCCGACUUUAUGGUAACUAUGGGCUAAGGUCUGUGUUUUACGUUACUGCUUCUUUUAAACCUCACAACAAACUUUGUGAAGUAAGGAACUAUUAUUCCUACUUAACGGACUCUGAGCUCAGAGAGGUUAAGUAAUUUUCUAAGGUCGCAGAGUGAGUGGCAGAGUGGGGACUCAAACUUGGUAUCGGUAUUAAGGAGUAGGGAGGGGGCUUUACCUACCCAUACCUUCCAUCAGCAACUCGCAAACCAUCCCAAUGUUUUUCUACGGAAAAGCAUUGUGUUUGCUAGGAAGUAUACUUUCAAGACAAACCCUCUGGUUCCCGCUUCCAACCUGAUUGCUACGCCUAAGCCCCUCCUUCCAAUAAAUUCUUCGGACACCCUGCCUGUGACUCAAAUCCCAGUUUGCCUGAUUCCAAAACUCUUGAUAUUAAUCACUAUGCUGUCCUACCUGCUCUGCUUAUCGAACUGCAUGGACCCAACUGAACUGAACUGGAUUUGGAAGGACAUCAUAAAUGAGGAGACUGGGGUUCCAAUCCUCACUAUGGCUCUUCCAGACACAGAUUUUAAAUUUUUUUUCAGCAUUUAUAUACUACUAAAUUAUUCUCAGCCUCAUCAGAUCUUCACAAAACUCUUAGAAGAGUAGGUAAGGCAAGUCAAUACUUCUGUGAUACAAAUAAGAAAAUCAAGACCUAAAGAAAUAAAAUAUGUUGUCCACAUUCACAUCUAGGAAAUGGCAGAGCUGGAAUCUGAACUGAAAUCUCUAGACUAUGUGGGCUUUGGAGUCAGAUUACCUGGGGUUCCAAACCUGGACCUAUUAUAACAAUAGCUAAGGAAAAUUGGUACUUCCAUUCUCUGGGCCUCUGUGUCUUUAUCUGUGAAAUGAAAGGAUUGGGCUGGUGGAUAUACAAGGGCCUUCCUCCCUGAGGAAGCCCCUCCCACCCCCAGUCAUGAUACCUACUGAGAGAAAUUGAGUCAGUGCAGAGUUUUCCUGCUGGGUACUAUGGGUGUGGAUUCCAGAAGGAAGAGCAGAUCCUGUACCCCCUGCCCCAACUGGACCCAGACUGAGAGGACCACUCACCGAGGAUGUAGCAUUCACCAUCUGGGGAGACUGUAGGGAAGGAAAUGAGAAUGCCCUUCGUCAUUGAGCACCCCAACUCCAGCACCAUCCUUGCUCCCACAGAAAUGUGACCAAGCUGCCCACUGCCCUCGCCCCCAACAAGGACAGAGAUGACCUGGGGAGCCCAGAGGGGAGGACCUCAUACCACCCAGUCCCUGUGGCACCUUCUUCCAGCGUAAAAUCCCGCGAGAUUGGCACUAUCUGGUCCAAACAGACAUCAUCCCCGAUAAUGGCCAUCCUCCGGUGCGUAUACAGGAAGAGGCUGAGGGCAGGAAGCAGACGUGAGCACAGGGGCCACUGGCCACCCCUCAGGCCUGUCCUGGAGGUCCUUAGGACUGUGCUGGUAGUGCCCUGACAAUACACACUCCUUUUGCCAUCUCUUUCCAUGGGGCGCAUUAUAGGCGGCUGUUUUUAUGAAUGAGUUCAUCAAAGCCAAGCUUUCCUCAUUUGGGGGAGUCCCUGCUUUGUUAGUAAAACACGUGCUCGAUCUAUCCUUGCACAUUCUAGCACUGUGUGAGACAGAGGUGGUGCAACCCCCACCACCCCCCUUCCCUCCCUGGACCUCUGUUUCUCCAUCUGUGAAAUGGGUG